AGACGAACGGACAGCUAUCAAUGGAUUAUUUUGAUAUGGGGUCACGAAGAGCAUCUUUUUCUAUGAUUCCUAAGUGGAUGUAUGGACGUUUAUUCUCCAUGGACACCGGAAACAGCGACAUGCCCGACAAGUCACACCUUCUGUGUCAUCCUGUCAUUGGCACAAUCGCAGUGAUGUCAUCGCAGGUGAAGCCCAUUACCUUGGAGUAAAGGAAGCAGCCCUGAGCGGUCCAGGCAGAAAGCAAGUUGGGAUGGUGGGUGAUUCACAAAACAAAGGACUUUGCC